rnacentral:rRNA from 1 species
UGGGGAAUUUUGGACAAUGGGCGAAAGCCUGAUCCAGCAAUGCCGCGUGUGUGAAGAAGGCCUUCGGGUUGUAAAGCACUUUUGUCCGGAAAGAAAUCCUUGGCUCUAAUACAGUCGGGGGAUGACGGUACCGGAAGAAUAAGCACCGGCUAACUACGUGCCAGCAGCCGCGGUAAUACGUAGGGUGCAAGCGUUAAUCGGAAUUACUGGGCGUAAAGCGUGCGCAGGCGGUUUGCUAAGACCGAUGUGAAAUCCCCGGGCUCAACCUGGGAACUGCAUUGGUGACUGGCAGGCUAGAGUAUGGCAGAGGGGGGUAGAAUUCCACGUGUAGCAGUGAAAUGCGUAGAGAUGUGGAGGAAUACCGAUGGCGAAGGCAGCCCCCUGGGCCAAUACUGACGCUCAUGCACGAAAGCGUGGGGAGCAAACAGGAUUAGACACCCUGGUAGUCCACGCCCUAAACGAUGUCAACUAGUUGUUGGGGAUUCAUUUCCUUAGUAACGUAGCUAACGCGUGAAGUUGACCGCCUGGGGAGUACGGUCGCAAGAUUAAAACUUAAAUGAAUUGACGGGGUCAUAGCUGUUUCCU